rnacentral:rRNA from 1 species
GAUGAACGCUGGCGGCGUGCCUAAUACAUGCAAGUCGAGCGAACAGACGAGGAGCUUGCUCCUCUGACGUUAGCGGCGGACGGGUGAGUAACACGUGGAUAACCUACCUAUAAGACUGGGAUAACUUCGGGAAACCGGAGCUAAUACCGGAUCAUAUAUUGAACCGCAUGGUUCAAUAGUGAAAGACGGUUUUGCUGUCACUUAUAGCUGGAUCCGCGCCGCAUUAGCUAGUUGGUAAGGUAACGGCUUACCAAGGCAACGAUGCGUAGCCGACCUGAGAGGGUGAUCGGCCACACUGGAACUGAGACACGGUCCCGACUCCUAAGGGAGGCAGCAGUAGGGAAUCUUCCGCAAUGGGCGAAAGCCUGACGGAGCAAAGCCGCGGGAGUGAUGAAGGUCUUCGGAUCUUAAAACUCUGUUAUUAGGGAAGAACAAAUGUGUAAGUAACUAUGCACGUCUUGACGGUACCUAAUCAGAAAGCCACGGCUAACUACGUG